rnacentral:rRNA from 1 species
UACGGAGGGGGCAAGCGUUAUUCGGAAUUAUUGGGCGUAAAGGGCGCGUAGGCGGCUAGAUGUGUCAAAGGUGAAAUCCCUCGGCUCAACUGAGGAACUGCCUUUGAAACUGUCUGGCUUGAGGCCGGGAGAGAGUAGCGGAAUUCCCAGUGUAACGGUGAAAUGCGUAGAUAUUGGGAAGAACACCAGUAGCGAAGGCGGCUACCUGGACCGGUUCUGACGCUGAGGCGCGAAAGCGUGGGUAGCAAACAGG